UCAGGACGAACGCUGGCGGCGUGCUCAUACAUGCAAGUCGAACGAGAAGUUACCUCGGGUGAUGGAAAGUGGCGGACGGGUGAGUAAUGUGUAGAGAAUCUGCCCUUUAGUGGGGGACAACAGUUGGAAACGACUGCUAAUACCCCAUAUGCGCGUAGCUGAGAUGCUAUUCGUGAAAACUCCGGUGCUAAAGGAUGAGUCUGCAUCUGAUUAGCUAGUUGGCGGUGUAAUGGACCACCAAGGCGACGAUCAGUAGCUGGUUUGAGAGGAUGAUCAGCCACAAUGGGACUGAGACACGGCCCAUACUCCUACGGGAGGCAGCAGUAGGGAAUUUUGCGCAAUGGGGGAAACCCUGAACGCAGCAACGCCGCGUGAUUGAAUAAGCCCUUCGGGGUGUAAAGAUCUGUCAGUAGGGACGAAACUUGACGGUACCUACAGAGGAAGCAUCGGCUAACUCCGUGCCAGCCGCCGC
rnacentral:rRNA from 1 species